rnacentral:tRNA from 1 species
GGCUUUAUAGUCACUGAUGAUAUUAGAGUGCAAUUCUAAAGGAGUAAACGUUCAAGCUGUUUGCUAAGGCUU